CACGUAGGCACCAAGCGUUGUCCGGAUUUAUUGGGCGUAAAGCGCGCGUAGGCGGCUCGAUAAGUCCGUUUGUGAAAGUCAAAGGCUCAACCUUUGAAUGCCGAUGGAUACUGUCGAGCUAGAGUCCGGAAGAGGCGAGUGGAAUCCUGGUGUAGCGGUGGAAUGCGCAGAUAUCAGGAGGAACACCAAUAGCGAAGGCAGCUCGCUGGGACGGUACUGACGCUAAGGCGCGAAAGCGUGGGGAGCGAACAGG
rnacentral:rRNA from 1 species